rnacentral:rRNA from 1 species
UACGUAGGGACCAAGCGUUGUCCGGAAUCACUGGGCGUAAAGCGCACGUAGGCGGAUUGCUAAGUCAGGGGUGAAAUCCUGGAGCUCAACUCCAGAACUGCCUUUGAUACUGGCGAUCUCGAGUCCGGGAGAGGUGAGUGGAACUGCGAGUGUAGAGGUGAAAUUCGUAGAUAUUCGCAAGAACACCAGUGGCGAAGGCGGCUCACUGGUCCGGUACUGACGCUGAGGUGCGAAAGUGUGGGGAGCGAACAGG